UACGAAGGGGGCUAGCGUUGUUCGGAAUUACUGGGCGUAAAGGGUGCGUAGGCGGGUCUUUUAAGUCAGGGGUGAAAUCCUGGAGCUCAACUCCAGAACUGCCUUUGAUACUGAAGAUCUUGAGUUCGGGAGAGGUGAGUGGAACUGCGAGUGUAGAGGUGAAAUUCGUAGAUAUUCGCAAGAACACCAGUGGCGAAGGCGGCUCACUGGCCCGAUACUGACGCUGAGGCACGAAAGCGUGGGGAGCAAACAGG
rnacentral:rRNA from 1 species